rnacentral:rRNA from 1 species
CACGUAGGGGGCGAGCGUUGUCCGAAAUCAUUGGGCGUAAAGAGCUCGUAGGCGGCUCGGUAAGUCGGGUGUGAAACCCCCAGGCUCAACCUGGGGACGCCACCCGAUACUGCUGUGGCUAGAGUCCAGUAGGGGAGUGUGGAAUUCCCGGUGUAGCGGUGAAAUGCGCAGAUAUCGGGAGGAACACCAGCGGCGAAGGCGGCACUCUGGGCUGGAACUGACGCUGAGGAGCGAAAGCGUGGGUAGCAAACAGG